rnacentral:rRNA from 1 species
CCAGCAGCCGUGGUAAUACGUAGGGGGCCAGCGUUGCUCGGAAUUACUGGGCGUAAAGGGUGUGUAGGCGGUUCUGUAAGUUUGGUGUGAAAUCUCCCGGCUUAACUGGGAGGGUGCGCCGAAAACUGCGGGGCUAGAGUACGGGAUGGGAGAGUGGAAUUCCUGGUGUAGCGGUGAAAUGCGUAGAUAUCAGGAGGAACACCGGUGGUGUAGACGGCUCUCUGGACCGUUACUGACGCUGAAACACGAGAGCGUGGGUAGCAAACAGGAUUAGAUACCCUGGUA